rnacentral:rRNA from 1 species
UACGUAGGUGGCAAGCGUUGUCCGGAUUUAUUGGGUUUAAAGGGUGCGUAGGCGGUCUUUUAAGUCAGUGCUGAAAUAUCCCGGCUUAACCGGGAGGGUGGCAUUGAUACUGAAGGACUUGAGUAAAGUUGAGGUUGGCGGAAUUGACGGUGUAGCGGUGAAAUGCUUAGAUAUCGUCAAGAACACCGAUAGUGUAGACAGCUAACUAAGCUUUAACUGACGCUGAGGCACGAAAGUGUGGGGAUCAAACAGG